rnacentral:rRNA from 1 species
GACGAACGCUGGCGGCGUGCCUAACACAUGCAAGUCGAGCGAUUUACUUCGGUAAAGAGCGGCGGACGGGUGAGUAACGCGUGGGUAACCUGCCUCAUACACAUGGAUAACAUACCGAAAGGUAUGCUAAUACAGGAUAAUAUAAGAGAUUCACAUGGAUUUCUUAUCAAAGCUCCGGCGGUAUGAGAUGGACCCGCGUCUGAUUAGCUAGUUGGUAAGGUAAUGGCUUACCAAGGCGACGAUCAGUAGCCGACCUGAGAGGGUGAUCGGCCACAUUGGAACUGAGACACGGUCCAAACUCCUACGGGAGGCAGCAGUGGGGAAUAUUGCACAAUGGGCGAAAGCCUGAUGCAGCAACGCCGCGUGAGUGAUGAAGGCCUUCGGGUCGUAAAACUCUGUCCUCAAGGAAGAUAAUGACGGUACUUGAGGAGGAAGCCCCGGCUAACUACGUGCCAGCAGCCGCGGUAAUACGUAGGGGGCUAGCGUUAUCCGGAUUUACUGGGCGUAAAGGGUGCGUAGGUGGUUUUUUAAGUCAGGAGUGAAAGGCUACGGCUCAACCGUAGUAAGCUCUUGAAACUGGAAAACUUGAGUGCAGGAGAGGAAAGUGGAAUUCCUAGUGUAGCGGUGAAAUGCGUAGAUAUUAGGAGGAACACCAGUAGCGAAGGCGGCUUUCUGGACUGUAACUGACACUGAGGCACGAAAGCGUGGGGAGCAAACAGGAUUAGAUACCCUGGUAGUCCACGCCGUAAACGAUGAGUACUAGGUGUCGGGGGUUACCCCCCUCGGUGCCGCAGCUAACGCAUUAAGUACUCCGCCUGGGGAGUACGCUCGCAAGAGUGA